AAACGUCGAACGCUUUGAAUGGUAAUAGAGUUAGACAAUCUGCCUCUGCCCCUAUUGAAACGUCUUAGUCGGGUAGCAUGUACUCUGAGUUGAUACCCACUGC